GUUUGUGGGAGAAGGGUCUUGUUGCUCAUUUAUGAAUCAGCUUGAAGAUGAUAACGCCACAGAUUCAGAUGCAGACAAUUCUAUCGACGAACAUUCAGCUGUUAGAAAGAAUGGCAGAGAGAAAAUUAGUUUACUCUCAUGUUCUCAUGACCACCAUGUUUAUAACUGUAAUUUAUGCAAGUGCGGAUCAGAAUUAUCUAAAACUCUUCCAUCUCAGUGUGCUAGGAAUGACCGUACAGAAGAUAGCUGUUCAUCAAUUUGCACCAAUUCUCAAUCAAGAUCACGUCAUAGAACUUCUCGAGGAAAUGGAGGGAAAUAUAGUACUGCCAAUGAUAGGAUACACUUUGAUUAUAGUGACCUUAACGUGGUAAAUGAUGAGUCAGUUGGAGAUUCUAUGUAUGACAAUGAAGUGGAAAGUAGUUAUAUAUCUAACUACCUAGCAUUCUCUGAUUCAGUUAUUGGUGGAACUGAUGGAAGUACUCCUGUACUGCGGAAAGGUGAAGAUAAUAUUUUGAACCUUUUUAU
rnacentral:lncRNA from 1 species